UAGAAAAAAAAGAAAUAAAAAUAGAAAAAAAAUAAAAUGGAAGAAGAUCCGUAGAUCGAAAACUCCCUUUGGAUUUUGUUGUUUUUGUUGUUUUUUUUUGAUAGUGUCCUGUCGUUAUUCAUUUUGCAAAUAAGAUUGUGUGUCUUU
rnacentral:ribozyme from 13 species